CGAACGCUGGCGGCGUGCUUAACACAUGCAAGUCGAACGGUGAAGCGCCUUCCUUUUUGGUGGGUGUGGAUGAGUGGCGAACGGGUGAGUAACACGUGAGUAACCUGCCCCCUUCUUCUGGAUAACCGCAUGAAAGUGUGGCUAAUACGGGAUAUUCUGGGUCUGUCGCAUGAUGGGUCUGGGAAAGAUAUUGUUUCGGUGGGGGAUGGGCUCGCGGCCUAUCAGCUUGUUGGUGGGGUGAUGGCCUACCAAGGCGGUGACGGGUAGCCGGCCUGAGAGGGCGGACGGUCACACUGGGACUGAGACACGGCCCAGACUCCUACGGGAGGCAGCAGUGGGGAAUAUUGCACAAUGGGCGCAAGCCUGAUGCAGCGACGCCGCGUGAGGGAUGGAGGCCUUCGGGUUGUGAACCUCUUUCGCCAGUGAAGCAGGCCUGCCUCGUUUGUGGGUGGGUUGACGGUAGCUGGAUAAGAAGCGCCGGCUAACUACGUG
rnacentral:rRNA from 1 species